rnacentral:rRNA from 1 species
AAACCAACUGGGAUUACCUUAGUAACGGCGAGUGAAGCGGUAAAAGCUCAAAUUUGAAAUCUGGUACUUUCAGUGCCCGAGUUGUAAUUUGUAGAAUUUGUCUUUGAUUAGGUCCUUGUCUAUGUUCCUUGGAACAGGACGUCAUAGAGGGUGAGAAUCCCGUUUGGCGAGGAUACCUUUUCUCUGUAAGACUUUUUCGAAGAGUCGAGUUGUUUGGGAAUGCAGCUCAAAGUGGGUGGUAAAUUCCAUCUAAAGCUAAAUAUUGGCGAGAGACCGAUAGCGAACAAGUACAGUGAUGGAAAGAUGAAAAGAACUUUGAAAAGAGAGUGAAAAAGUACGUGAAAUUGUUGAAAGGGAAGGGCAUUUGAUCAGACAUGGUGUUUUUGCAUGCACUCGCCUCUCGUGGGCUUGGGCCUCUCAAAAAUUUCACUGGGCCAACAUCAAUUCUGGCAGCAGGAUAAAUCAUUAAGAAUGUAGCUACUUCGGUAGUGUUAUAGCUUUUUGGAAUACUGUUAGCCGGGAUUU